rnacentral:SRP_RNA from 1 species
GCCGGGCGUGGUGGUGUGCACCUGUAAUCCCAGCUACUCGGGAGGCUGAGACAGGAGAAUUGCUUGAACCUGGGAGGCACGGGUUGCAGUGAGCUGAGAUCACGCCACUGCACUCCAGCCUGGGUGACAGAGCAAGACUUCGUCUCAA